CCUACGGGAGGCAGCAGUGGGGAAUAUUGCACAAUGGGGGGAACCCUGAUGCAGCAACGCCGCGUGGGUGAAGAAGUACUCCGGUAUGUAAAGCCCUGUCAGCAGGGAAGAAAAUGACGGUACCUGACCAAGAAGCCCCGGAUAACUACGUGCCAGCAGCCGCGGUUAUACGUAGGGGGCAAGCGUUAUCCGGAUUUACUGGGGGUAAAGGGAGCGUAGACGGGAAGGCAAGGCUGGAGUGAAAGCCCGGGGCCCAACCACGGGACUGCUUUGGAAACCGUGUUGCUGGAGUGCAGGAGGGGUAAGCGGAAUUCCUAGUGUAGCGGUGAAAUGCGUAGAUAUUAGGAGGAACACCAGUGGCGAAGGCGGUCUGCUGGACAGCAACUGACGCUGAGGCGCGAAAGCGUGGGGAGCAAACAGGAUUAGAUACCCUGGUAGUC
rnacentral:rRNA from 1 species